GGACGCAGGAGGUGGUUUCCCCCCAGGGUCUCCAGGUGAUGGUAAUGCAGAGCAAGGCUUAGAACGACUGCCCCAAAGGCUUGCUCCGUGUGUUGUGGCCCGGGUUAAGUAGCCUGGCGUCACCUGGGAGCUCGAUUGGCUUGCAUAGCUUCACUGCCCACGCAGGGCCUGAUAAACCAGAGCCUGUGUUUCUCCGAGAUGCCCUUACAGUUUGUCUGGAGUGUCCCGGCUGAGCACCGCCCACCAGAGCUCUCAAACUGGAGCUGCGUCGUAAUCCGGCAUCCCCCCGGAAGGCCCUUAAAACCCGGAUGGCUGGGCCCCGCCCCCAGAGUCGCUAAUCUAGCCUGUGCACUUGCAGCCUGUUCCCAGAAGGCAAGGGUGCUGCCCUUCCAGGGAUGCAAGAGGAUGACCCCGGUGAAGCCCGACGUCCUGUUAGCCCUGCGUCCCCGGCCUGCUCUCACGGCUGCACCGCUAGCCCCAGGCUUCUGCAGCACCUCCCAGAAAGAAGAUGGACUCUCACCCAAACUUUGGUCCAGCUGUCAAGACUGAUAACAACACACACACACUAAGAAAGUAUGGAAAUAUUUAUCCCUUACACAAGGCGGCUUUUUGAGGUUGAAGCUCCAAUACUUUUGCCACCUGAUGCAAAGAACUGACUCAUUGGAAAAGACCCUGAUGCUGGGAAAGACUGAAGGCAGGAGGAGAAGCGGAUAACAGAGGACAAGAUGGUUGGAUGGCACCACUGACUCAAUGGACAUGAGUUUGAGCAAGCUCUAGGAGAUGGUGAUGGACAGGGAAGCCUGGCAUGCUGCAGUCCAUGGGGUUGCAAAGAGUUGGACACAACUGAGCAACUGAACUGAACUUAAUGUAUCUCAUUGUCCAUUUAAUGC
ensembl:lncRNA